rfam:Lactobacillus brevis ATCC 367 plasmid 2, complete sequence.
CAGGCUCAAUAGUAAUGUUGAGUUGUCCAUGACAGAAGUCAGCCGAGGCCAUAGUAGCCAGUAAUGGUGAGGGGC